GACGAACGCUGGCGGCGUGCUUAACACAUGCAAGUCGAGCGGUAAGGCCCUUCGGGGUACACGAGCGGCGAACGGGUGAGUAACACGUGGGUGAUCUGCCUCGCACUCUGGGAUAAGCCUGGGAAACUGGGUCUAAUACCGGAUAUGAGCACGGGAUGCAUGUCCUGUGUUGGAAAGGUUUACUGGUGCGAGAUGGGCCCGCGGCCUAUCAGCUUGUUGGUGGGGUAACGGCCUACCAAGGCGACGACGGGUAGCCGACCUGAGAGGGUGACCGGCCACACUGGGACUGAGACACGGCCCAGACUCCUACGGGAGGCAGCAGUGGGGAAUAUUGCACAAUGGGCGAAAGCCUGAUGCAGCGACGCCGCGUGAGGGAUGACGGCCUUCGGGUUGUAAACCUCUUUCGACAGGGACGAAGCGCAAGUGACGGUACCUGUAGAAGAAGCACCGGCCAACUACGUGCCAGCAGCCGCGGUAACAC
rnacentral:rRNA from 1 species